CCUUCGCUCAACAGAUCGCUGUCGAAGCUUACACACAGAAAUGUUUCGCUCGAAGCAUUUCUUCCUCUAGCUUUGGGAGAAAGUCCCCGGACACCUUUUCUUUCCCUCGCGGAAAGGAGAGAAUGCGGAAACGCGCCGCCAUAAAAGCACUGCGGCUGACUUCGGUGCCUUGGCCACCUCUGGCAACGACCAUGCCCGGCCUUCCGCUACAUUCGCUCUGCCUCGAAGCCAAUGUGUCUCCUCGGCUUCCACAGCCGCCGCCCGAACCAUCAGGACGAAGAUAUGAGUCCGAGUCGGGUGCGGCGUCGGGACCGAACGUGCGCUUGGCAGAAAGCAGGCGGAUGGUAGGUUGACGCUUAUGGCCUUGCUGUUGUGGUUGCGGGCGCAGAGGAUAUUUGUCGAGAUCGAUAGUUAUGCGAUUGCCGGGCUUCACGUCUUGGUUACUCGAUGGGGCUCAUUCUUGAGGCGAAG
rnacentral:RNase_MRP_RNA from 2 species